rnacentral:rRNA from 1 species
AUGGAGAUGGAUUGCCUAGAGAUGGUGCAACUGUGGAGCAAUCGUCACAAUUCUCGUUCAAUUUUGGCCCCUAUUUUACUAGAAAUUGGAGAGCUACUUAGCAAUUUUUCGUUAUUUGAUGUACUUCAUGUAAAUCGCUUAGCAAACGUUCCGGCACAUCUGUGUGCCAAGCAUGCUUGCACGCUGAGUGUGACUGAGUGCUGGCUCGAUGAGACCCCUAGCUUCCUAUUGACCAACCUGUUGGCUGACUGGGAACGCCUUGAUUUAAUAAAGCUCUCUGAAUUAUCGCAAAAAAAAAGGUACAUGGGGUCCGCUCUCAGCGACUGGACCGGGAAGCAGGGGUGUGUGGCCUGGUUUUUGUGA